GAAAUGCUUCCAUGAGAUCCAGCUGUAAGGCAUUUUCUCAAUUAGUGAUCAAGGGAGGAAGGGCCCACUGUGGGUGGUACCAUCCCUGGGCUGGUGGUCUUG
rnacentral:miRNA from 14 species